CUAGAAAAGGCAAAAAGACCGAAAAAAAAAAAAAAAGCCAUUAUCUGAGAACUCCUGUCCCCAUGGUCCCGCCCUUUGAGCCCCACACCCGCUACAUCUCUCUCCACGGUGUCGCGGACGGCUGCAGCCACACCUGAAUGAAACCAGCGCCUCACCUUGACAUACUGCUCGACCUCAGUCACGAUGCCCAUGACGGCAGAGUAGGACUCCUCCAGGGCGACGGGGCCGUCUGGCAUCCGCGUCAGGGCGUUCCGGUAGAACUUCUCCUCCUCGGUCAGUUCGUAGUGCACGCCCACCUAACCAAAGGCAGUCGGGCAUGAACGCAGGCAGUGCGGACAGAAACGUGCAUCCGCCACCUUCCGCUUAAUUACAAUGAACCGAAGAACAGCUCACGCUAACAAUGCCUCUUAAGGGAUGAGGUAAGAGUAAGCCAGUCACAGGCAAUGGGCGCCUUCUUACACUUCACUCAUCCAACCCAUAAAAGAACACGGACCACCAGCCAGCAAACGUGGCAGGACCAUCGGCACCAGGCAAAGAGCACAGACACCUCAGAAGCAGGUGCCCCAGGGUGGACCCCCUCACAGGACAGGGACAGGAGCCCUGGAGGACACGAGAUGGCCACAGCCCGCACCGACCCCAACGUGGAUGCCGGCCCCCCGACAAGUCACUCAUCUGUUUCAAAGAUCCAAGGGCCUGUCAUGUGCCAGGCGCUGCUGUAGGUACAAUUGACAGACUAAAAACCUCACGGACUUACAGUCUGGGGGAGCAACAACCAAGGGAAAAUCAAAAGACACAGACUGUCCAAUGGUGACAAGUACUGACGAGAAGAGCAGGCCAGAGGGAGAGGGAAUGUGGGCGGGAAGAGUCCCAGGCCAAGCCCAUACCAGAGCAGUGACCACGUGGUCCCUUAACUACGAGGCCACCAGGGAACUCCAGAGAGGAUCUAUUUUAAACAGGGGGUCAGGGAGGAGGUGACAUGUAAGCAGAGACGAGCAGUGCAAAGGACGGCCGAGAGCCUCGGCACAGAGGCAGGCGGCGAGGCGGUGCCCGGAGCGGGGAGCCGGCGCUCACCUGGUACCGCUGACUCUGGAUGCGGGGGAGAGAGAGCACCACCAUCUUCCAGGCGAACAUCUCCUGGUACAGCUUGUACCUGCACUCCUCAAUCGGCGGGUUCAGGUAGAUGACCUGGUUGGUUAUUCUCAGCUCGUGCACAACAUUCUGGAAAAGAAAGAUUUCCCUCUUGACGCAGCACUCUGGUUCAGCGGACUGGCUCUGACAGCCGACACCUUCUCCAAACUACUGAACUACUUCUGCUGCUUCACCGACACCAGUUCGGGGCCUGAGGCCCUCCCCAGAGGUCAGAGGGCAGGCACUGCUUAGGCUCCUCCUGGGUCCUGGUGCCUGGUGUCGCACACACAGCAGGUGCUCGGGGAAGCACCAUCGGCUCUGAUGAGCGUGAUGACGCCCGGACUCGAGGACCCUGUGGCCUGACGCAGCGACACCAGGCUGACUUUACUGAUGUGGCUUAGAAGCUGAGGGCAAGCAGUGCCACCUGCCAGUGCUUUAAGCUAAUGGAGAAUCCCGUCUCAGUGCUACUGUAUCAACUUGGAUAGGCACACUGGCUUCUCUGCAUCUCAGUAUUUUAAAACGGAUGCUCUGGGGAUAUCUG
ensembl:lncRNA